rnacentral:rRNA from 1 species
UCGCCUCUUGAUAAUAAGUACGAGAGGUUGGGCCUGCCCGGUGAAUAACUAUUUAAACGGCCGCAGUGGAAUAACUGUGCUAAGGUAGCGUAAUAAAUUGUCUCUUAAUUGGAGAAGGGUAUGAAUGGUUUGAACGUGGUAGUUUCUGUCUCAAUAAUAGUAUUGCGAAAUUUUCAUUUAAGUUAAAAGUCUUAAAUACAGAUAAAAGACGAGAAGACCCUGUCGAGCUUAAUAAAAUUAUGUAAAGAUUUCAUAUAAUAAAUUUAACUGGGGCAGUUGAGAACCAAAAAAUAGUUCUUUGUUAUUUGAAGAUCCGGUUUUACCGAUCAUAAGAAAAAACGACCGCAGGGAUAACAGCGUUAUCCUUUCUAAGAGAACUAAUUGAAGAAAGGGUUUGCGACCUCGAUGUUGGAUUAAAGUUUCUUUUUGGUGCAGCAGCUAAAAUAGUAGACUGUUCGUCCUUAAAACUUU